AUGGCCCGAGGCAUUGCCGCCGGACCCCUGCAGCACUCCCCCGGCACCGCCGUGGGUCUGGUUUUCGUCUUCGUGGCUGCGGUAGCGAUCGUGGCAGUUGCCGUGUUCGGCUGCGCCGAUGACGGGGAGGGGAAGCCGAGACGGCGCCGCAGCCACUGGGGAGGCGGUGGCGCAGGAGGUGGUGCAGGCUGCGGAGGAGGAGGUGGUGGUGGAGGCUGUGGUGGCGGUGGCGGUGGCGGGUGUUGA
rnacentral:rRNA from 1 species